rnacentral:rRNA from 1 species
AACGAACGCUGGCGGCAUGCCUAACACAUGCAAGUCGAACGAAGCCUUCGGGCUUAGUGGCGCACGGGUGCGUAACGCGUGGGAAUCUGCCCUUUGGUUCGGAAUAACAGUUGGAAACGACUGCUAAUACCGGAUGAUGACGAAAGUCCAAAGAUUUAUCGCCAGAGGAUGAGCCCGCGUAGGAUUAGCUAGUUGGUGGGGUAAAGGCGCACCAAGGCGACGAUCCUUAGCUGGUCUGAGAGGAUGAUCAGCCACACUGGGACUGAGACACGGCCCAGACUCCUACGGGAGGAAGCAGUGGGGAAGAUUGGACAAUGGGCGAAAGCCUGAUCCAGCAAUGACGCGUGAUUGAUGAAGGACCUAGGGUUGUAAAGCUCUUUUACCCGGGAUGAUAAUGACAGUACCGGGAGAAUAAGCCCCGGCUAACUCCGUGCCAGCCGCCGCCGUAA